GGCUCGGUGGCUCAGCCCGGCUAGAGCAACGGACUUGUAAUCCGUCGGUCGGGGGUUCAAAUCCCCCCCGAGCCUCCA
rnacentral:tRNA from 1 species